GACGAACGCUGGCGGCGUGCUUAACACAUGCAAGUCGAACGGAAAGGCCUGCUUUCCCUUGUGGAUUGCGGGUACUCGAGUGGCGAACGGGUGAGUAACACGUGAGUGAUCUGCCCCCAACUUGGGUAUAAGCCUGGGAAACUGGGUCUAAUUCCCGAUAGGACUGCAGGGUGGUGCCUGUGGUGGAAAACGAUUUUCUAGUGGUUGGGGAUGAGCUCGCGGCCUAUCAGCUUGUUGGUGGGGUAAUGGCCUACCAAGGCGGCGACGGGUAGCCGGCCUGAGAGGGUGGACGGCCACAUUGAGACUGGGAUACGGCCCAGACUCCUACGGGAAGCAGCAGUGGGGAAUAUUGCACAAUGGGCGGAAGCCUGAUGCAGCGACGCCGCGUGGGGGAUGACGGCCUUCGGGUUGUAAACUCCUUUCGACCGCGAGGAAGCCACCUGGUUGGAAGGGUGGUGACGGUAGUGGUAGAAGAAGCACCGGCUAACUACGUG
rnacentral:rRNA from 1 species